rnacentral:rRNA from 12 species
GCUGAAAUUGAGACUUUGUCCUGGAUUUUUACUUUCCCAUCAGAUCUUGGAAGCUAAGCAAGGCCAGGCCUGGUUAGUACUUGGAUAGGAGACAGCCAUGGAAGACCAGGGGCCAUCAGAC